CUCACCUGCAUCCAUGGGGAGUUCAAGAUUUUAAAGUUUUCAUUGAGUUUCUCCAUCAAGUUAAGGAAAUUCUCAUCUUUAUAAUCAAAACGAUUAUGGAAAACAACUGAGCAGAUCACGUUGGAGGGAGCACAGCUCAGGAUGAAUGUGGGAUCACAGAGUGAGCCAUUUGUUUUUCUUAGCUCUUCCACAAGACAGGAGGCUUCCUCUUGAAUGCGAUCCUCGAUGCUCCUCUUCCCCAUCCCAAAAUUUCUCAAGGUCAUAAGUGAGAAAUGCCGAAGCUCCUUCCAUUUUGUUCCAUUGCUGAAAAUGACCCCAAGGCCAUUAUUCAUUCUUUCAACAAUUGGGAAACUACCCCUCCCAGAAAACUCCUCUCCAAGAUCAUCCAGGGCUUCCUUUACUGCUUCAUAUCCAUGUACCACCAC
rnacentral:lncRNA from 1 species